UUAGAAUACAACACAGAAACUUACAAUCUACUCUUGCUGUAAUGUAAUGCACAUACGUUGUUUUUUCGGUGGCCAGCAACCAAGAGCACCCUUCCCAGGAGUACCCCAAUUUCCUAUUGCAUCUUCCAGUUGGAGGACAGUCUUGAUCGGAAUGUAACUCAAUAUUUCUCAUCUCCUCUCUGCAACCAAGGAGCUACAUGUGACCCAAAAGAGAGAAGAUCUCUGUCAGUCACUCAGACUGGAGUACAGUGGUGCGAUCACCACUCACUGUAUGCAGUUUUGAACUCCCUGGCUCAAGCAAUCCUCCCACCUUAGCCUCCCAAGUAGCUGGUACUACAGAUGUGCACCACCACGCCUGGCUAACUUAUUUAUUUAUUUAUCUGUAGAGACACUGUCUCACUAUGUUGCCCAGGCUGGUCUCGAAUUCCUGGACUCAAGUGAUUCUCUUGCCUUGGCCUCCCAAAGUGCUGGGAUUACAGGCAUGAGCCACUGCACCUGGUCUCACAUAUUUUUAGUACUAUAAAUCUGUGAAUGCCCAGCAAACAUCAAGCAGACUGUACUCUUGGAACUUUUCAUCUUGAGUGGAGGCGCAUAAGGAAUGGGAAAAUAUUGGAACACAUAUACUGGAGGAGCAGCACCCAGAUAAGAUCCUUCAGUUGUUCAUGCUGCCUGGACUCCAGGAAUUGCCUUCAUUCCUGUCUUGUGUCCUGAUUUGGCUCUCCAGCCUCCCAUCUAUCCUGAGUUCCUAGCUAGCACCCUGUUAAAAGUCUCUUUUUGCUUCUGUUAGUCAGAAUCCAUUUCCAUCAUUUGCAUCCAAAGACAUUCAACUAUUACACCGAGAUCCAAGAUUUUUUUCAGCACUGUCGCUGUUUUGCAUAUUUAGCUCUGAGUUCUGACAUGCUGAGUUUACUACUAUAUGAGAUACUACCUUCAAAAUGUCAAUUUCAUCCAAACCCACACAUUAGUGCAAUUACAAGACAGUACAUUAGCAUUAUUAUUAAUUUAUUUAUAACCCAGCUUGUUCCAAAAGGAUUUCAUUGUGUUAAAUUAUCCUACAGAGGUAUGGCAAGAAAAAAAACAUUUAAAAUAAGGAACAAAAAUGAAACAAAGGAAGAAUAAGAGGUAGAAAAGUGAGAUGAAGCCACAAGAGAACCUAAUCCAUAAAAAUGGUUACUGCCAAGGCUAGACAAUAGGUAGGGGAAAGAUGCAGUAUCGUGAAAAGGUCUGCAGGCUACAGUUGUUGCCAUGGUAUUUGGCAACAAUAUUUUCUAUUUUUCAUAGUUCCUUCUCAACCUGAAUUUCUGUUAAAAGCUUGCAAUCUCUCGACAUUGAAAUGGGACCAUGAGAUAAUUAAGCAGUUGCCAAAUGGGAACUAACUGAAUAACAGAAAAGAAUACAUUUGCUUAAAGUCUUUACGUUAUUACUUUAAAGAUGGUAAAAACCCUGAGAUAUCUGCUUUAAUCUUCAUCUCUCUUUCUUUCUCUUUCUUUUGUUUUUUUUGGUUAAUAUUAGUCAAAACCUGGAAGCUGCAGUGCCUUAUUUCAAGUUAUGAUUUUUUAAAUUUUGCUUUUCACAAUAGAUGGACCUUGAAAAAUUUAUUCUGUUAUCUGUUUUUACAAAUUCAAACACUCUAAAUGGAAGACAGAAACUAUUUAAAAGAAGAUUUAUAGUCAAUCUUUUUGCAAACCAGGCAUUACAUUUUUACUUAUUAUUUUAGCGAUGUGGGGUUUUCACAUGUUAUAGAAAUGUCAGUUCCCGUCUUGCAGUUUUUAUCAAGAAAGCAAAGCUCAGAUUUUAAAUGCAAAUACUGCAUAAAGAUAUUGCUCAUACAUAGUAACAUAGUAAACACAAUCAUGCUGAUCUUCAUUAUUGUAAUGACGAUUUUCCCAUUUUAAUAUUUAUUGCAUUUUUUUUUCUAUCAAACCUUUUUCAAAAAGGAUCGGAGGCAACUGUGGAAUACAUCACAAGUGCCACCUAGUGCUUCCUUUGAAAAUAAUGCUUUUUUUUUUUGGUCUUCAGAAAUAGGAACAAAACAAGAUGUAGAACACCCAUGCUCGUAGGCUGGAUCUUGCUUAAGUAGUUCUGCUUCCUAAAAAUGAGUGCAUUUGUUUUCAGCCAAAACAUAUGUUGAAAGAAGAAUUUGGAAGUGAGUUUCCUUGACUGUGCUCAGACCUCCCAAUACUGCUUGGUUUUAAUUCUACAUAGGUAGACAUGGCAUUAAGUAAAGGAUGCUAAAGAAAGGAAACAUAAAAUAAGGAAUUUCAUUAAACAAGAAGUAGCAGUAAUUAUUUCAAAAAGUAUUUUUUCCAUCUCCCAGUAGGAGUUGGCAUCUUACUAAGUUUGAUUUCCAUCAUCAUCAUCAUCAUUAUU
rnacentral:lncRNA from 10 species